CAACGAGCGAAGCUUGGAUGUAAAGGGGGUGCGUACAGCGGAACGGACCAUCGAAACGCCAUCAUGGACGUUUUGUGUGAAAUCAAACGGCCGUAAAGUUUUAUUUUAUUGCAUUUUUCAUUUUCAAUCAUAUUUUAUCGAGAGUGGCCAACGGUUUUGCUGACGGGUGGUUUACCUGCUUUAUUCAGGCCUUUAGUCCAACCAAAUGAAUGGCAAAAACAUGAGUAAAAUACAUUAACCAUUGCGCAGUCCGAUACAACAACAUUAUAAUACAUCCAGAAGUGACAAAAGUGUGCGCGGGGACGAUCAAUGCUAUAUACCACCAAGCAAAGCACGAUCAAUGUUCAUCGUCCAACACCACCGUCGCUAGCGCUAUAUCGUAAUGACAUGAGCACGUCGUUGUCGACAAGGAAGCGCUAGGAGAUUCAAACCAUCCAGUGCCAGUCUGCCAGUACCACCACCAACCAAUGUCAACCGUGAGACAUGAAUAGCAUUCGCAAUGUAAUUAGGAAUGGAGGAAGAUGAAAAAAGAGCGCUGCUACUGCCGCCAUACGGUUGGGUGAUGAGUUUCGCUACGGUUUGCGAUGAGUUUUAAGCAACUAACAAUAUUGUGCUGCGAGACGAGAUUUUUACGAGCUGCCCGGUUGCCGCGAUGCUGAGACAUUUGCGCCAUUUGCGACAGGUCGAGUGCAGUGCUCGGAGGGGAUGGAUGAUGCUUUUGCUAUCUUCUGAGGAAGCAGAGUGUCUGAUUGUGGUAUCGUUGGUCUCGUUUGCAGUGGUCGUUUGUAUUCACACUUUUUUGUUCUGCUAAUGCUUUUGCUGAUAAGAUGUUUGAAGAGGACAAGCUUGAGACAUGGAAAAGGGCAGAAUUGUUGACUAGAAAGAUUAUUUUUCCGUAGCGUUUGUUUAUAUUUUCCUGCAGCUUAGAGAAUACAAUAUAAAUUUGCUUUUAUAAUU